CCUGCCCCUAGAGGUGUUACAAAUGUAGAUACCGUGUCACCUGUACUUCAGUAGGUGACAAAGAGGGGAAGUCUAUGUCUGUGCACAGUGUUCUCACCUAUGAACAUCUGAAUGAUUAGUAGCCUAACAUU